UUUAUUGCUUACCACUUAAAUAAUUUGAGAGGUAGUCGUAUAAUUUUUACAAAUAUAGAUUGUGAAAAAAAAAACAACAUGGGUACAAUUUCUAAAUUUGCCAUAACAUUUAGCCCUGCUAAUAGAAUACAUAUCGAUAUCAUGAAAUCUUUUAAGAAAACGAGGAACUUGACUUGUUAUUAUUGUAAGGCUAUAAUUAAUUUGUACAAGAUCAACCUAUUGUAAUAAAGAAAUGAAUCUUGCCUACAAUAAAUUAUACCUUUUUAUUUACACACUGUUGAUCUUAUUAUUAAAAGGAUGCUUGAGUGUCAGAUUAACGAUAAAUCAGACGUCCUCGCUUUUCAGUAGUCAGUAGUACAAGCCAACGUCAAGCCAGAUAUUUUCUUUUUUGGUUUAAAAUAGGAUGUAACAUGAAACUUAUUUUAAUUUUAAUACAUGUAAUUAGUAUUCAAUAAGAAAUUGCUGUAAAUUUUGAAGUACUCAUUACAUCUUUCGUUUUUUCAUAAACAAAUAAUGCCCAACGAAAGAUUACUUUAUUAUUGCAUUGUUUUUUAACAGAUAGAGAACAUGUUGUAUAUCUAUAUCAUAAAUCUACAUAAUUGUUUGAGGAGUAAAGUGAUAACAGUAUUGAGUAUUGCAUAUAAAUUUGUUUAUUAUCUGUAUAAUAUAUAUUUGAAACAAUAUCAUUCUACAACAUUGCAUAAAAAUAUAUAAACACUUGAAAAAAUGUCUUGACUCUCAUUUGAUAAAACAUGUUCAUGAAGAAUUGCUUAGAGUCGGAUUGCUAUUACGUGUAAGCGGAACCAAGAUGAUUCGAUAUGUCAGUUAUAAUUUGCAGUUUGAUCGAUGUCGAAUCGCAAGCAAGAAGACUAGGAGUUACAGAACGGUGCACAAAUAUAUAUUAUAAACAUUUGAAAUUUAAUCGACGGCAAAUCAAUACCGUAUAAAUUCAAAUUCUUAAUAAUUCUGACAAAACUGGCUAAACAAUCAAUUAUGUAAACACGAUCUUCAUUUUAAAUCAUAAAUCAAACGCAUAGCUUUGUCCCAAAUAAAGAGUAAUGUAUCAAUCAAUAAUAGCAAAUUACACUUAAUCGAUUUAAAAAAAUCAUAAGAUUAGUAAAUUUCGUAAUUAUAUUCUUAAUAUUCCAAUAUUUGAUAUAAUUUAGUAUAAAAAUUUAUUACAUCUUUUAAUUUAACAGUGCUUCAUACUUUUGGUCAAUGCUGUAUGUGUGCUCGCAAAUUAGCGACAUCAUUUCUCUAGUUUCUAAUUUCUGAAAAUAAUUAAUUAAAUAUUACAGCGAUAUCAGAGUUAACUGUAUCUCACAUAACGAUUCUUAUGCAAUGAAAGAAAAUUGACAAAAUUUCUUUUUUUGGAAUGCGCUGCACAAGAAGCGUGAAUUCGUUAAUUAGCGGAAGAAGAAACAAUGACACGCCGUGUGUGUGUGAUUCGACUACGUCAUAAACAUGUUUAGAGAGUACGAUAGGCCAGAAAUAAAACUCGUUUUUAAAACUUAAGGGCUCGUAUCAUCGUCCAUAAGAAGGAUUCACUUCGUGCUCGUGUUGUCGAAUGAAUUUGAAAGAUCGGCGAAGAGAUUUAGCCGCGCAUUCUCGUACGAACGCAAUUACUAUUUUCUUUUGAGAUCAUUGGCCAAAGGAUAACAAUGAUAAUUAUAAUAUUAAUAAUGUGAUAAUAGUAAUAACUAAUCAUAUAUAAUGAUAAUAAUAUAUAAUCAUCGUAUUAUAAUAAUAUAAUCAUGUUAUACUUAGUAAUAAUAGUAAUAAAAGUAACUAUCCGUAAAGUAUCCUUUAUCAGAAGAGAUAUACCUAUAGCUUAUGUACAUUUUUCCGUGCGUGUAUGAUCCUCACUCUCUGUCUCCUCUUCUUCUUUUUUUUUUUAAAUUACGUAUCAUUACGAUAAUUUACUAUUACUCGCCACACGGUAGCAACAUAAAUAAUAAUACAGCACUGUUAUUUACAAAUACGCGUUCCCUCCCUCCUCUCUCGCGCACACUCUCUUUUUCGUUCUCUCUUUUAUUGCUGCCCCGCUUGAUAGUAACAUUUUUGCAUGCGGAUCUGACGGAUAGUUCUAUGAUCGACGAUGCACCGCUCGAUCAUGAACGUCUCUUUUUAUUAAACCCUUCCAAAAAACUAUAAUUAAAAAUUAUAGUUAGCUAACAAAUUAAAGAGAACCAAGUCGGCCGAUAUUAUUCCUCUCGACGAGGAUGUGCUCUUUAUAUUUAUCGCCAAGUAUUACCUAUAUAUAUAUUAUAUAUAGAUAUAUUUUAUGAAUAUAUAUAUAUAUUCAUAUAUAUUCUGUGUCGUUUGUGGAAAAACGCGACCGAAAACUUGCUCUUUCAGUGAUUCACAGUUAUCGUAGCUACCACAUCAUUCCACUAAAAGCGAAUUGAUUGCAGAAGAAAUUUUCGGUCGCGCAGUUUUUCCACAAGCGCAAUUUUUCGCAAUCUCUUAACGUGCGCAUAUAUGUUUUUACAAAGUUAAUUUUAGAAUUCGGAGCGUCGAAUCUCUCUUGCUGCGAAAUACCGCCGGGUUACAAUUCUCGGGGCGGUGCAUCGUUUCGCACAGUGCAGAAUGAUCCGUCUUUGCGCUCGUUCUUCGGGGAACGAUCCGCUGCGCGUCGGGAGAUCACGUGGAAAAAGAAACUUCCGGUUGUUGUUCCAAUCCUGUUUCCUGUCGCUUUGCCUCGAACGCGAUCGAAAAGAGCCCGCGCGAUCGUCAAUCAUCGCAAUAACGUCGGAAGGGAAACUGCCCGGCCGGUCCAUUCCGUGUCGUUCUUCAUAUUAUAUAUCUAUCUAUCUACUCUCUUCUCUCUUUCUCUGCGUCUACGAUAUUUACAAUGACAAAGGAAAAGAAAACCAAUGCAUCGUGCGUCAUCGUCGUGGUCUCCUCGUCGAUAAUCAUCAGCUAAACUUAUCUCGUUUUUUUUCUUUAUUUUUUUUUAAAUAUAAAUAUCAAAACCGUUUUCGCGUAGAAAUACUGAUCCCACUAAAUAUCUCCCCCUCCUCGUUGGUGGUUAAUUGAUAUCUAAAUUUUCGGUCGACUGUCUUAGUGUACGACAGUCUUCUCGCGUUCAAGAUUUUUCUUUCAUCGUUUCUCCUCCUUAAAAAAAAAAAAGAAAGAAGACUACGAGGGAAGGAAAGGAAAAGAUAUCGGAAACGUGUAAACGUCGCUCCCGACAUUCAGAAAAGGCGAAUGUCAAGCGCCCGGAGUUAUUAUUUCAUUUUUCAAAGUGUAUAUACGAUGUAACUUCAGUAUCCACCGCGUUCGUACAAAUGCUUGUUAUCGAAAACAAAGAUUUCACAACAUUACGAGCACCCGUCGUAUAUGUCGUGUCCUUUGGGAGAGAUAUCGCGUUUCACAAUAGAUUUUCACGAGCGACUCGACUGUCAUCACGUCGGAGCAUUGUUGGAUACGUGCGAGUGCGAUGUCGGCCAGUGGAUCGUUGUUCUGCGCAUUGGAUCGAUGAGAAUGCAGCUCGAGUGAAACGCCCGCCCGAAACUCAAACAACGAGCCGCAGAAGACUCGGGAGCUACAACCGUGUGAAGGUGAAAAUUAACGAAACUCACUUCGAGAGCGAAGACGACGAGAGAUACAUUUUAAGAUGCGGCUUUCACGCAGUUAAAUUGUGGAGGUGAGAACAUCGGAGCGAAAGCAAAUGCGGUAAAUCGAACGGGUUCGACGAGCAAGCCAACCCUUAUCACGAUCGUAAUUUCGUGAGGAAUCGUGAAGGACGAAUUGACAUUUUUGGGAUACGCGCUCCUCCACCCACCCAACCCCUUCCGCCGCCGCCCUUGUAAUCCUUAUCCCUCAUCGCAGCGGCGGCGGCGGCGGCUGCUACCCUCCUGCUCCCAUUCUCAGUCUGGCCGUUUUCUCUCCCUCACGGGUGAUAUUGAUCCUCCUGCCGCGAGGCCCACCCACGAGCGGCAACGUUAGGCUGCCAUUCGACCUAGUGUAGGAUCGUAACACAGAUGGAAACGCGCAAGGCGGCUAGUCCUCGACCAGCCGAGGAUUUUUAAAGCCGACGGAGAAAAAGGAAAGACAAAACGAAAUUCAGCGUCGUUUUUGCUGGGAAAGGGAAAAAUGUGCGCGACGAAAAUCCUGACUCGAAGCAGACUGAUAAUCCUGCCAGAAAAAAAAAAAAAAGAACGUAUCGAGGAAGAUGACGCAGGAUGUGGAAAAUUUUACGCGCCGGUCGCGAAACGCCGGGCGUUAUUGCGGCAGAAUAACGUAGUGGAUAACGCAUUAAUUUCCAAACGGAUCGAUACCGACGCGAUAAACCCUGAGUUUAUCGCCUCUAAAAUUUUCCAACGAACAGAUCGGGUUGAUUUCGUUUGGCCGAUUACGAGUAUCGAUGUUAAAUAACGUGUAAGAUUAACGGAGAUUUUGGAAAAGUUCAAGUCCAAGUGAAGAGAUAUUUUGUAGGAACUCAACGCUUUUAUUAAUAACAAUUCGAAAUUCAACAUGGAAUUUAUUCUACGUACGAAAUGCCCGUGUUAUAUAAUGUUUCUUUUAUAAAUAUUUAUAAAUAAUGCGAUAUAUAUGCGCCCCAACCAAGUUUAUCGUUGAGAAAUUAACACGUCGCAAUCAUCGCCUCGAUUAUGUCGUGCUCCGCCACGAUCGACUGUCGACAGUGUAAACGUCAAAGCUUCAACGAUGCGUCAUGUCACGAUUUCCGUCUGUGCGUAAGUGCGUAAAUUCCUGUACAAGCUUUGCGAGCGUAUGCUGAAAACCGUUGUUAAUUUUCGAACAACUCGGUAACAAACUCGGGUUAAAUUCUUUUUAGGCACUGCGACUUAUCGACACCUCCGAUUAUAUCUGCACGGAAAAAAAAAAAAAAAAAA